rnacentral:lncRNA from 1 species
AUGUAAUGGUUUUGACUAUGGGAUAAAUAACACGAAAAUAAUAACCGUCAUUUUUCAUUAUAAUAGAUUGUUAUAAUACAAAUAAUGAUUGUUAUUUUUCCACUUGUUUUUCUUUUUAAAUAACAUAAUAUUAUUUUAUCUAAUAAAAAAUAAAAGGAAAGAUAAUGUCAUUAUUCUCUGCUAUUAUUUCCCAUCAUAGCAUCAUUAUAACAGCGGA